GCCUUUCGAUUGCCAACACAUCCAAUCAUUGGUGUCACGGUCAAACCGUGACACUCUGUACAUUGUAUCGGGGCCAAUUGUGAUUUCAGAGAGGUAUGCGUAAAUCGUGACACAUUAUGCUUAGUGUACAAGGUGUUAUUUUUUUUACAACAUAUUAACAUCUUCCUGCAUUUCCUUCUUCAAAGGAAAACAUUCUGCAAAUUAGAGUUGGUUGUGUCUCGCUCUCCUGCAGAACUUCCCUUAGCUGUAAGUGCCCUGAAUAUCACACUUUUGAAUCAAAUCACAAAAAAACUGUUUUACUCACUGUCAACAGACCAACAUGAAUGUUUUCAUAGUGAAUUUAUGUUGUCAUUAAAUCACUAAGGUCUGAAGAAGACCGAUUGCAGGACAGAAAACGGUGACGAGUGCAAGGAGGGCUACGGACGCUGGGAAAUUGACAGAACUGGAUACCGGGAACAGGGUUGCUUGUUAUGGGCCAGAAAAAUACCCUGAUACUUGCCAUUGUUAAACAUUUAUGGAAGCUUAAGGAAUGUAUUUGGCUAGGCUAAAACUUUUUUUUUUUUCUUUGCAGAUCAAAAUUUUUUUGCCUGGGGUGAAAAUAAAAAUCAUUGAUGCAAAGUC